rnacentral:lncRNA from 1 species
AGGUGAGAGCAGGAACUAUCUGUGUACCUGUAAAGGCAAAGGAGGCUGGACCACCUCCAUCAUGUCUGGCAGCAGUCGGCUGGCAGCUCGGAUUGCCCAAGAGCCCCUCAGUGACAGCCAGCACCAUCUCCAGCCUGCUCCAGGGACUAGGAUUUGGGAUUUGACUUACCACACUGGAAGAGCAUGUUACAGAAGCAAGGAACAGGACAGCUGGUGAGGCUGUUUGGAUUCUGCCACAGGAUGUGCUGAAGGAAUGAAGACAUUCCCCAGGCUGUGCCUCUGAGUCCUCUCCUUUGGGCCUUCCCAUUACCUUCAGCUCUACCAGAAGGCUGUAGGAUGCUCCUGUGGUAAAUCUAGUCAUCUGCUGGACAGAGCACCAGGCAACUGAGAAGACCUUCUAUGGCUUGUUGACAGCCAGUCUAAUUAUCCCUGUAGUGAUUGCCACAGACAGACACACACUUUGGGAUCCUGAAGGAAAAACAUUGUUUAAAAAGAUGAGGUACUUCCAUUUCCGUGAGACAGGGUACUUUUCACUGCUGAGCAGCUACCCACAGCUCCUGCACAGCACGGGCAGUGUCCAUGAAUCCACACACUAGCUUCUAAUACCCUGCUCAAGUAACCCAGCCUGAGUCUUUUCCUUUCAGCUGUGCAUCCAGCUCUAGUAGUUAGUGUUUAAUCCCAGUGAAGAUCAACUGCUGCAGGUCUUGCUUCUGAGGGACCUCACCACAAACUCUGGAUGUUUCAAUGGGUAUCAGCCCCUGUGAAUGGGAGUUUCUGACACCAUGAUGCUGCAGGAUGCAUUUCUAGAUAAAAUUCACCUUGGGACAUAUUUACAUUGCUGAGCAGACUAAAUCCAAGUUCUACAAAUGCCACAUCUUAUCAGGGUCAUUUUCUUUAUUAGUUUUAUUGCACAUUGGCUUGAGUCUAUAGACUCCUAGAGCAUGAAGCCACAUCCAGCUAAGUCUUAGAAGCUGAAAACUAAAGGCUAUGCAGCUGUUUCUCUCUGGAGCAUUCAUGAGGUAAUAAUAGUAACAAUAAGGGGAAGGAAAAUAGAGGAGUUUCGUUGUGAUUUUUUUUAGGAGGAAUAUAAAACAAUCCUUGAUUUUAGGCACUUUGAUGGACUAAUGUAUGGUUUUAAUGGUGUUGUUUUCUGAGAAGAGCAGAAAAAGUUGUGUCAAGAGGUAAUAACCCUCACUUUGUAUAGAGAGGUGCUUUGUAUAGAGAGGUGCUGCUGUGUAGAAGUGCUGGAGUCCUUUAUUUAAAUAGGAAUAAUUAUAUUGCACAGGAAACUUGGAUUUGAGAGCAGUUCUUCUGAUACUCCAGGAGUAAAUAUCUGCUGCAUUCACCAAAACCCAAAGGCUGAUCUCACAUCACAUUGGAUCAUCUGCAUUAUGGCUAAAAUUAAAAUAAAGGCAGAGGAAACAAAUAAUAAAGGAUGUAAAACUCCCAAAUGACAGGUCUAAAAGGAAGUCCUUUCCACCAAGAUAGAAGGUGGAAUGCCUCUUAGCGUGAACAUCUGAUGUAGAUGGAGAUGAA